CAGAAUAUUAAGCCGUUUAGGGCCGUGAUUUUGGGUUUGUUUCAUGUCGAUUACCAUUUAGAUUGAGAGAUUGCUGCUGUAGUUGGUCUGUGGUUUUACAUUGACAAUAUGGGGGAUGUAAGUGAACUUUGAGUGAAAAAAAGCAGUAGCAGACAGAACAUCUUGUCCAACUUUGAAAUGCUUGCUACCGGAGCUCUUCCCUGUGCUGUUCUUUGUUCAAGAUAGUUCCUUCAGCAGUGGGCAGGACUAACUCACAAGCCGUAAUCCCAUUGGUUGAGAUGUGAUUAAUAACCCGACACCUGUCAGAGAUUAGUGUAACAAACAAGAAGUUGCACUAGCAUGUGAGUACAGAGAAAAGUCAUCUUUGAAUGUGGAUAUUUCUGGUUCAGAGCUGCGCAGGGGAGCAAGCGCUGAACCCUCAUUCAUCUUUGACCUGUUUAUGGAUGCAGUGAAGUGCACCGUUUUCUGUCGUAAUGCACCUUCUCUUGGACCCAUCUGGUUAUACCAGCUUGGACCCAUUCUGUGGGUAAAUGCUUUGAUGGGCCAUUUGUUUAAACAAAUGCCUUCCAUUUAGAGAAUGAUCAAUGCAGUUUG